rnacentral:rRNA from 1 species
AUACGUAGGUGGCAAGCGUUGUCCGGAUUUACUGGGCGUAAAGGGAGCGUAGGCGGAUUUUUAAGUGGGAUGUGAAAUCCCCGGGCUCAACCCGGGGGCUGCAUUCCAAACUGGAAAUCUAGAGUGUCGGAGAGGAAAGCAGAAUUCCUAGUGUAGCGGUGAAAUGCGUAGAGAUCGGGAGGAACACCAGUGGCGAAGGCGGCCUGCUGGGCUUUAACUGACGCUGAGGCACGAAAGCAUGGGCAGCAAACAGGAUUAGAUACCCUGGUAGUCCACGCCGUAAACGAUGGAUACUAGGUGUAGGAGGGUCCAACCUUCUGUGCCGCCGCAAACGCAUUAAGUAUCCCGCCUGGGGAGUACGGUCGCAAGAUUAAA